AGCCGGCCUCCACCACCGGGCAUUCGGUAUUGAAAGCAAACCCUGCUGAACGUGACGGAGGGGAGAAAGCUCGGCGUUUGCUUUAAUUCCAUUCCAUGACUCAAUCACGAUACAGUCAGCGCUGAAAACGAUGAGGAAGUGCGGUCUCUGUGGGCUGACUUUUCACUCUCGGAAACAGCUUGGUCAAAAUAGCUGCCUUCUCCAUGCUUCCCUUCCUCACUUAGGAGAAAGCAUGAAGAAAGCAUGAAGCAUGAACUCUCAAGAGCUGUGCGGUCUAGUGCAGUGCGUGUUAGGCCAGGAAGACUUGCCAUUUCCCAAUCCCGCAAAAUUACUGUCAAAGAAAUGCAGGGCGGUGCGCGCGGGGCCGGGGCGGGGCGGGAGGGGGGAUUUCAAUCACUGGAAUCCAGAGACCCCCCGCUGUUGCCGCUGCCUCCCCACCAAGCAUGUGAAAUUUGGAGCUUAGCGGGCUUCAGGAACAAAGAGGCUGGGAACUGAUCCUGAGUGCCGCAGUAUGGGGACAACGGGAGCAAUGGGGACAGAUGCCCUAUGGUGGAUGGCAAGGGAGUUAGGUCACUGUUCUUGUCGGUAAACUGGGGCCUUGACAUUUGGCUGGAAGCUAAGGGGACCCUCUGGGAGAUGUCAAGCUGGCAAGUGAUGUAAGAUUUCCACUGCAGAAAGAGAAUUUCACAAGGCGAGUCCAAUCUAGGAAGGGAGUGGAGACUCCUCCCUUCUGUCACAGUGCCAAAGCCCCUGGGCCCUCGCUGCGAGGCUGAUGCCAUGUGUAAUCUUUGGAUCAUCUUCAACACUAUCCACAAAGCUUUGAAAAGGCUUGGAGCACAGCAAACACACAGGGGAUGGAAUUCACUUCUGGUCUUUGUUUCUUUAAAGACUUUACAUUUUAUUUGGCUGUGCUGAAGAGUGAAGCCAGGGCCUUGUGCACACUGGGCAGGUGCCCUGCCGUGAGCUACAGCCCCAGCUCUGCUCACACAGCUUUUCAUUUGCGAUGGGAAAGGGAGCAGGCCAUUCUGUAUUACCCAGUCUGGUCUCUACCCCCUCCCCCGGCUCAAGCAAUCCCCCUUCCUCUACCUUCGGAGCAGCUGGGACUCAGACAGGUGCUACUGUGCCCAGCUCUGCCACCUUACUUCUUACUCCAAAACAAUACUUAUGUAGUCCUUGAUCUUCAAUCCCUCUCCCAACAGCCACUCUUGGAAGGUUAGUGACUUAAAUAGACCUUUGCAGGGACUCUCUGGUAUUUGAUUUAUGACCAGAAGAGUGGAAUUCUUCUGGGAAUCAGUGAUGGAAGUUUGUGAAUUGGUGAGGGAAAGUCCUGGGGACCCUGGAAUGAACUAACUAGCAUUAUAAGGGCAUGUCAAGUUCAAGGUGAAACCAUUUCCUUGAUGGAUCAGCUGCCUGACACCACUGCUUGGUGACUGGGACCUGUUUCUUCAUAGACUGCUUUAAUUUCACUUAUUUAUGUCUAUACCUGCCUAGGAGCUAAAAUGUCAGAUUACCUGAAGGAUGUGUGCAUGAGACAGCUGGGAAGAGCCUGUUCCCCCCGCCACAGGGGAAGCCAGUGUUAGCUGAGCACACAGGUUAUGUACACCACCUUGGCACAGAAGGAGCCAAAACUGUUUCCUGUGACAAGGUCUCAGAUGACUAAUGGGAGUGAGAGUCAAAACACACAGUUAAGCUUCUAUAAGCCUCUCUAUGAAGGAGGCAUUGGAAUUGUUCUCAGGACUCAAGGGAAGCGCGUGUGUGUGUGUGUGUGUGUGUGUGUGUGUGUGUGUGUGUGCUUGCAUGCUGGAAAUUGAACCCAGGGCCUUGAGUGUUUGGAGCAAGUGCUCUACUACCGAAUGAAACUCCCAGCCUGUCCAUUUUCUGGGAGGUGAGAAAGCCUUCAUGGAGGAGGAAGGGAGAGUUCUAGUGUUCAAAGGAGUCAUGUGUUGGAAAGCUGGAGGACAAGCCAGGUGAUUAGUGACAUCAUAUAUUGCUCAGGUUGUCCAGACUACUGACUUUUUUAGCACUAGUUUUUGACCCUAGCUUCCUCCCGUACCACCUGAUUAAAUUAUAUUUUCUAAAACCUC